GUGCAAAAGAAAUUGCACUUUUUGUUCUUAAAGAUAAUGGCAAAAACUGCAGUUACUUUUGCACCAA
ensembl:miRNA